GUGCUCACUUCAGCAGUACAAAUACUAAAAUUGGAGUGAUACAGAGAAGAUUUGCAUGGCCCCUGCACAAGGUUGACACACAAAUAUGUGGUGUUGCAUAUUUAA
ensembl:snRNA U6 U6 spliceosomal RNA